AUAUGCAAUUUUCAUAUACAAAGGGAGCAUUACUCAAUCCAGAUCCAAAAGGAAUGUACGAAGGGAGCAAAAACAUUUUACAACAUUCUACCUUCUACAUGUUGAAUUUGUGGACAUCAACUACAUAUGUGAUUACUUUAUCAGAGCAUGUAAAUGAAAACAACUUCCUGCAAUCAUCAGUGAGGAGAUUUAGGAAUAGUCAACAUACUCCACUGGAAAAAUAUUCCUAGCGGCAUUAGUUGAACACAAUCACCCACGUCGAAGUCAUACACGCCGCUCUUCACGUACAAAUGGUACGCACAACGG
rnacentral:lncRNA from 7 species